rnacentral:scRNA from 1 species
GGCCGGGCGCGGUGGCUCACGCCUGUAAUCCCAGCUCUCAGGGAGGCAGAGGCGGGAGGAUAGCUUGAGCCCAGGAGUUCGAGACCUGCCUGGGUAAUAUAGCGAGACCCCGUUCUCCACAAAAAGGAAAAAAAAAAAAAAAAAAAAAGACAAAAAAAAAAUAAGCGCAACUCCCCUUAAAGCAACAACCCCUCCCCCCCCCUUU